rnacentral:lncRNA from 1 species
CAGUACCUGGAGCCCUGGCUGCCGCUAAAGCAGCCAAAUAUGCAGCAGUGCCUGGGGUCCUUGGAGGGCUCGGGGCUCUCGGUGGAGUAGGCAUCCCAGGCGGUGUGGUGGGAGCCGGACCCGCCGCCGCCGCUGCCGCAGCCAAAGCUGCUGCCAAAGCCGCCCAGUUUGGCCUAGUGGGAGCCGCUGGGCUCGGAGGACUCGGAGUCGGAGGGCUUGGAGUUCCAGGUGUUGGGGGCCUUGGAGGUAUACCUCCAGCUGCAGCCGCUAAAGCAGCUAAAUACGGAGUGGCAGCAAGACCUGGCUUCGGAUUGUCUCCCAUUUUCCCAGGUGGGGCCUGCCUGGGGAAAGCUUGUGGCCGGAAGAGAAAAUGAGCUUCCUAGGACCCCUGACUCACGACCUCAUCAACGUUGGUGCUACUGCUUGGUGGAGAAUGUAAACCCUUUGUAACCCCAUCCCAUGCCCCUCCGACUCCCCACCCCAGGAGGGAACGGGCAGGCCGGGCGGCCUUGCAGAUCCACAGGGCAAGGAAACAAGAGGGGAGCGGCCAAGUGCCCCGACCAGGAGGCCCCCUACUUCAGAGGCAAGGGCCAUGUGGUCCUGGCCCCCCACCCCAUCCCUUCCCACCUAGGAGCUCCCCCUCCACACAGCCUCCAUCUCCAGGGGAACUUGGUGCUACACGCUGGUGCUCUUAUCUUCCUGGGGGGAGGGAGGAGGGAAGGGUGGCCCCUCGGGGAACCCCCUACCUGGGGCUCCUCUAAAGAUGGUGCAGACACUUCCUGGGCAGUCCCAGCUCCCCCUGCCCACCAGGACCCACCGUUGGCUGCCAUCCAGUUGGUACCCAAGCACCUGAAGCCUCAAAGCUGGAUUCGCUCUAGCAUCCCUCCUCUCCUGGGUCCACUUGGCCG